CAGGUGGGCGGAGCUUUUCACUUUCUUCACAAGUUUAAGGCUGAGACUGUUCUCAUUUAUGAUAAGCUCGGUUUUGGCUCUGGAGCCAAUCUGACACGAUAUACUAAAUCGAUCCAUUAGAGGAGGACUUCUACUUGGAGACAAAAGAACUGUUAACUUUACAGACAGGCUCUUGGCAGGGUUACUUUCAACAGGAGGCGUUGGGCCUAGUCUGUCGGAACUGCAUGCACUUUUAUCUCCCUGAAUGAAGCGAACCCGCCUCGACCAGCCUUCAACCCGGAGAGAAGGCCGCAAAGACGCCGAGUCUCGGCCCCAGGGCCGCCCCGAGACCCCCGCUGCUGGCCUCUCCUGACUCAAGGUCAGUGUGGCUAAGGCCUGGGCCGUGCGAGGCCACAGCCUGGGGCGGGCUGUUUCCCGGGCCGGCGCCCACCCACCCCGCUGUGAACAGUCCCGCUUCCCGCUUCCCGGGACGUGGCCGGGCCGGCACUUCCCAAGCCGAGGCUGGGCGCACCCGCGGGACUAAGGUCCUGGGGUUGUCUGGGGGCUCAGCAGGAGGCGGAAGGGCACCUCUUUUUCCAAGCCAGGUGACCAGGGCGGGAGGAGCGUGGGGGGAGGAGGAGGAAGGCACCUUGGGGAGGAAAGUCUGGCUGACGAGGGAGCCCUCCAGCACAGAGGAGUUUGGGAACUGGGAGCAAACUGGGAACGCGGAGCAGGAAAAUAAACCGGAAGCCAUUUGGGGAAAAGGUGGAUAGGACACUGGUCCGGCGGUCCUGCGGAGGGAGGAACGGCCGGCCGGUUGUCCUGGCAGCACCAAGGAAAGAAACACAAGUCUUAUUCCAUGACUGGUAUCCUUGCCCUAAGGAGAGCAUGAGUGCCUUGAGCCAGCACAGGAUCUUCUGUCCCUUGUACCACAGGAGCACAGUGCCGGCCACACGAUAGACAAACAGAUUCUGCGGGUGAUUCGGGGCCCCAUUCAU